UGCCGGCUUUCCACAGGCCGGCCCGGGCUACCGAAGAGGCUUGUCCUUCAUUGCCGGGCGUGCGGAGGGAGUUUUCCCAUCCAAUCCAAGGCAGCACGGUCGGUUAACAGCCGUCACCGUCGUCGCGUCUCCACAGCGCGUCGGCGUGGAUAGCUGUCUC
rnacentral:ncRNA from 1 species